GUUGGAGUGGCCUAGCGGUCUAAUGCGCUAGACUCAGAAGUGUUCUUCUGGGUGUUCUGGUUCACGAUGUGGGCGUGGGUUCGAAUCCCACCUCCGACA
rfam:Schistosoma mattheei strain Denwood, Zambia genome assembly, scaffold: SMTD_scaffold0002576